rnacentral:rRNA from 1 species
UACGGAGGAUGCGAGCGUUAUCCGGAUUUAUUGGGUUUAAAGGGUGCGCAGGCGGAUUUUUAAGUCAGCGGUCAAAUCGUGGGGCUCAACCCCAUCCAGCCGUUGAAACUGCAUCCCUUGAGUGCGCGAGAAGUAUGCGGAAUGCGUGGUGUAGCGGUGAAAUGCAUAGAUAUCGCGCAGAACCCCGAUUGCGAAGGCAGCCUGCCGGCCCCACACUGACGCUGAGGCACGAAAGCGUGGGUAUCGAACAGG